GCUGGAACGGAUUAAUGGCAUUUCAAUUAAUUUCAAUGGGGAAAAUUGCUUUGGGAUACGAGCAAUUUGACAUACGAGCAAGGUUACGGAACGAAUUAAACUCGUAUGUCGAGGUACCACUGUAUAUUUAAUUUACUCUUUUUAUUCUAGAAACAUAUUAUAUACUAAAAUAAUUAUUAAAAUCCAAGGGUCUGGUCCUUGUGAACCUAUACCAGUAGUGCAAGUUAAAAGAUAUUCUGUACUAUUCUGUGAAAAACUCGUUGCAGGUUAUCGCGUUUUCGAUUCUUCAAAAAAAAAAAAAAUGAAACAUUAAAUGAGUUCAUUAGAGCCGCAUUUUUCUACAUGUGUAUAUAAAACACUUUAUGGUUGAAUAACUGGAGAUCGUGUUGAAAAAAGGUAUAGUCAGCGCAAAAUUUACCUAUUUUCAUAAUGGCUUAAAGUUAUUUAUGUCGCUGCGUACCCCAGUAUAACCCUUGCCAUACCCCUAGGGGUACGCGUACCACCGGUUGAGAACUGCGGGUGUAGACGGCUUAGUCCCUGGCGUGCGGCCAUACAGUCGGGGUCAGGCGGGGUCACAUACAGCAUCCAAAUAUUGUCGACGCAGGGCAACACUUUGCAAUUUGAUUCGUAAAACACACACACUCACACACAUACCACACACUAACACACACACACACACCACUCACUUACACACACAGAAUAUCGUGUACCGAUGCUGUCACGUGACUGGAGACAUUUUUUCCGAUUUUUGAAACUCCGAUCGUAAUGACCAGCAACAUUUGAAACCUUCCUGCCGUGGUUGCCCUGAGUGAAGGCUGGGUUCUGACGACAGAAGUACAUCUGAGGUAAGUGAAACAGCAAUAAGUAAUCAAGGUACAGACCAUUGCUGGCCUGAAUCUUAGGUAACUUUAAAUUCACCCUUUGAUCACGUGGUAUGUAAAGCUUUUUCUAAAGACUUUGUGGAAUCUUUAUUUUGUAAAGCAAUAGAAACUAAACUGCAGAACAUGAUGUAAAUUUAGUGUCUGAUACCCCGCGAUUAUUAUUAGUGUUAACUUUUUUCAUUACUGUUGGUAGUAUUAUUCUGCUGUGUUUAUAUCUAGAGAAUAUUUAUCUUGGAAAAGUAAUCAAGUACAAUAUUUUCUGGAAGACAAGGCAAUUUCUUUAAUUUAAUAGCCUCGUGCCAUAAACGAUAUUGUUUGAGGAUGGAUAGGAAAAGUCAGAUAUUCUUUUCAAAUACAAUGGUACAGAAAAAAGAGAAUGCCACAAUAAUUAAAAUUACAACAGAUCGAAAGUCCCAAAGUAAGUUUUGUCAUAAAAAGAAAACAUUUCGGAUUAGUGAUCUUUAUAAACCAUAUGUGAAAAAUAGUAACAAUAUUAAUAACCCAUGAGAUAAUGUCAUUCGCGAGCAUAUUUCACAGCAUAUUUAGAAUCCUUCUUUCAUAUGAUAUAGUAAAAUAAUAAUAAGAUAAAAUAAUAUAAUAUGAUAAAGUAAUAUAAUAAUAUGAUAAAAAUUUUACUUGUAGAUAACAUACUCAUACGAAGGCACACGCACGAACAAUCACACACACAGAACCCCGAUAAAGAUAGAUGCGCAUAUUAUUCUCAAUCGAAAACAGAAGCUUCAGUGAUUAAUUACAUUUUCUUUGUUUCAGUAUUCACACAGUGAAACUCGUGCAACUGAAGCAGCAGACACACUCUCGAGAUAGCUAAGCAAGUCUGGUUAACGAAGCGUUUCGUGAAAUGGUCUGUUUCAAAUAUUGUACAAGGGAACAGGGGCACAGUCUGCAGAGAUGGUUGUGGGGAAGAAGAAGCCAUUGGGGUCUGCAUGAUGCUUGGCUAAAACAGUAGAUCAACCGGAGAAACAUCAUACUUCUUUUUGGCAAUCGUUCGUUCCUGGACUAGCGGAGUGGUUUUUCUGACUGCUACAGUGAUCUUCUUGCUCUGUCGAAAUUGUCGGUUAUCUCCCUUACCCAAGAUGAGGACCUAACACACGUUCACUCUACAUGUGCUACAGUGUUCUACACAAAGUAGUCUACACAAUGAAAGAAACUCGGGUCUCCACACACAGCCUAGACACAGAUUCUGACUAAAGGAACAGGUCGAGGAAGCCAUCAGAUGAAAUCCGGAUUAACAACGACUGUGAGAACUCAACAGACUCUGUGACGACUGAUAGCCUUGAAGAUAUGCUCGUCAAUCUUUCGAAGCUUAUAAUAAUACAGGAAAAACAAUCUCAGCUUUCAAAUAAUUAUAACACUCGAAACAGUGUUUGUAUACCCAAGAAAUGUGAAGACUAUCAAAACAAAAUAUCCAAGGUUAGUGUAGCUGCUGCAGUAUUGUUGUCAGUGAUAAAUAAAUGUUGGUAACAAAACACAAACCGCAAAUUUUAUUACAAAGAGAAUGAGUCGACAUUCUUUACUCUAUGUGUAGAUUGAAGACGGUUGCAGACAUUAGCCUCUCAAUAUUUUUUUUUUUUAUAUCUUCUAUUUGACUAGCAAUUGUGCGUUGAUUAUUUCCAAGUCACAGAUGUAAAUUGUCUUUUGAAAACAAUCUCUGCAGCAACGUGUGUCGACAUUCCAUCAGGAGCUCAGCCAUCCCUUCAUUACUAGAUGGUGUGCAACAGUCAAAUCAACCUUUUUGCAGCUGUAACAAAAAUAUUCCCACUUGUGACAUGCUGUAGCGACAUACUUGUGGCGAGUACAAAGCUGACAAAGAACGUUAACCAGUGCUACAUUGCGUAUUGUGAUUACGUCCCUUGGUAUACUUAAUUAUAAUUUCUUGCUGCGAUAAUGGUCGCCUGUUGCUGACACAGGUACUCAGCUCAAUGAUACAUGUUGUCUUUGCACGAUAGUCAUGAUUGUAGUCAUGUAUGAAAACACAUCCAUACACAUAUGUAUCCGAACGUACAAAGAAAAAUAACUUACACAAAUUCUUUACGAGUUGUCAUACACAAAGACGGUCCCAAGCAUUAAACAGCUAUACUCAUAAAGUUUCCUGCACUAUAAAACACAUUGUAAAAACAUUGUUGAUAAUGCGUCUACAAUUGUAUCGCUGAUCGACCACAACAAAGUUAUUCUAUUAAGAAUAAAACAGUGAAAACAGGUUUGAUUUGACAAUGUGAUCAGUCCGAACACUUCAAGACCAAUCAGUAAAAUAUUGUAGAGGUUGAUAUAACAGUUAAUUGGGUAACACAAUUUCAUUUGUAUAAAAUGUGUCUUUAUACAUUUUGCAAUCACUUGUUCAAUACUCCUUGUCUGUUAGUUGUGUUAAGUUGCCUAAGAGAUCUGAAAUGUAAUACCAAACGAGGGUUUUGAAAUUUUCAGAAAAUGAAAAGUUUGUUGACGUAUGAACAUAAAGCACUCAGCAUAUCGA